AAGUCGUAACAAGGUUUCCGUAGGUGAACCUGCGGAAGGAUCAUUAACGCAUCCCUGACGGCCAAGGCGCGACCCCGCUCCGGACCGCAAGGCCGUGCAGCGGGCCCGCCUGGGUCGCUCAACCUUCACAAACCCACUGUGCACCUUUGGCGGCGGGAGGCAUGGCGAGAGCCGUGCCCGACGCUGCGUCACAAACGCUCAGUAGAAAAGAACGAUCGGUGGACUCUGUUCCGCCCAAAACACUUAACAACUUUCAACAACGGAUCUCUUGGCUCUC
rnacentral:misc_RNA from 1 species